AUUGAACGCUGGCGGCAGGCCUAACACAUGCAAGCCGAACGGUAGCACAGAGAGCUUGCUCUCGGGUGACGAGUGGCGGACGGGUGAGUAAUGUCUGGGAAACUGCCCGAUGGAGGGGGAUAACUACUGGAAACGGUAGCUAAUACCGCAUAACGUCGCAAGACCAAAGUGGGGGACCUUCGGGCCUCACACCAUCGGAUGUGCCCAGAUGGGAUUAGCUAGUAGGUGGGGUAAUGGCUCACCUAGGCGACGAUCCCUAGCUGGUCUGAGAGGAUGACCAGCCACACUGGAACUGAGACACGGUCCAGACUCCUACGGGAGGCAGCAGUGGGGAAUAUUGCACAAUGGGCGCAAGCCUGAUGCAGCCAUGCCGCGUGUAUGAAGAAGGCCUUCGGGUUGUAAAGUACUUUCAGCGGGGAGGAAGGCGGUGGAGUUAAUAACUUCACCGAUUGACGUUACCCGCAGAAGAAGCACCGGCUAACUCCGUGCCAGCCGCCGCAGUAAAAC
rnacentral:rRNA from 1 species